CCUACGGGAGGCAGCAGUGGGGAAUAUUGCACAAUGGGGGAAACCCUGAUGCAGCGACGCCGCGUGAGUGCAGAAGUAUUUCGGUAUGUAAAGCUCUAUCAGCAGGGAAGAAAUAGCGACCUUUGGGUCGCCAGACGGUACCUGAUUAAGAAGCCCCGUCUAACUACGUGCCAGCAGACGCGGUGAUACGUAGGGGGCAAGCGUUAUCCGGAUUUACUGGGUGGAAAGGGAGCGUAGACGGCAGCGCAAGUCUGAAGUGAAAUGCCGGGGCUUAACCCCGGAACUGCUUUGGAGACUGGGCAGCUAGAGUGCAGGAGAGGUAAGUGGAAUUCCUAGUGUAGCGGUGAAAUGCGUAGAUAUUAGGAGGAACACCAGUGGCGAAGGCGGCUUACUGGACUGUAACUGACGUUGAGGCUCGAAAGCGUGGGGAGCAAACAGGAUUAGAUACCCCUGUAGUC
rnacentral:rRNA from 1 species